UGGGGUCCUGGAGCCUCUGAAAGAAAAGAUGUGUUGGACUCAGAUGAGGAUUGAGACACUUAAUGGAAGUGAGAUAUCCACAUGCAAGUGCUGACUCAAGUUAUAAUCCAUAGUGAACUUAGGUGUGAUUCUAAGUUGGCUAAACAGUUGGCUAGACAUAGGUGUUAGUGAGACCUGAGAUAGCCCAGCAUAUCCCACUGGGCUUCUAGCUGCCCCCUCUUAGGUGAACUGACGCUUUUGAAUUUUUAAAGUUUCUGAAAUCGUAGGAGAACCUAUGUUGUUGUCUCAAGCAGACUUUUAUACUGUUUAAAAGAAACUACCCAUUCUUGUGGACCAUUGCAGAAGUGCUUUUGGAUCCCACUGUGCCAAGUGCGAGGCAAAUACACAAUGAAAACACAGUUUCAGCACAUGAAGUUUGUAGCUGAAAAAGUAACAUAUUUGCAAGGGCUGUGCCUAUAAACAGGGUUUUGUCAUAUGCAAAGUCAGUAUUUCGCAAUUGCUUUAAGCCACAUAAUUAUCUGUUUCAAGCCAGGUCAGGUCCUUGAUCCAGUUUUAUGUGGGGCUGUACAAUUGUACUGCUAGUACAAUGGAGAGAGUGGCAAGAUUCAAAAUGGCCUAAGAAGGAGACAACCUCUUCUGGCAAAAUACCUGCAUUAGGUCACUUUAAAGGGACUGCAAAACUCUGGCCUUGAUUUUGAGGGCGUUUUUUGUUAUUGCAGGGUGAGGACUUUUAUAGAGGAGUCAUUCUCAGGUAUGAAGAUAAAGACCUUUUUCCCAUGUAGCUUGUAGUUCUUGAGAAGGAAUUUAAAUCAGAAACAACCACUCCACUUGCUCUCUUUUGCCAGUGAGUUAUUGCAAGACACAUUGUUGCUUACAUAACUAUAUUUAUGUUUUAUAGUGAAACUUUAGCACCGGGGUCAGGUCUGUAACAAAUGAUACAUUUUUCAAAUGUUGGCUAAUGCAUUUUUGCGAAGUUUAUCUAGUCUGCUAUGUUGAAGUUGGAGUGUCUUGUGGCACUGUUUGGGUUGGCCUGAAGCAUUGCCAAGAAACUGUAAAUCAGACAGAUAAGAAUCAGACACACUUAGUUGAUUGAAGUCACUUUUAUUUAUUGAGGUACAGUAUUCAGUCAAAUCAUUCUACCUCUGUCUAGAUUUAGUCAAAUCCUGAGUAUGGGGCAAAUGAAGGAAGUGGUUUGGUGUUGUUUUUUAUGGCAACCAAAAAUGUUAUUCUUCUGAUAGGCAUCUGUACAUAGUGAUUCAUUUUUGUAAUUGCUCAUUGACUCCACUGGCAGGUUCCUAUUAAUGUGUGUGUGUAUAUGUACAUAAAUAUGGUUUAACGUUCUUGUAAGAGCUUACAUUACUGUUACCUGUCUCUGGUUUGUUAGAAUAACCUGUUGUAUUGUUACUUGGGAGUUUGGGGGUGUCCAGACUGGGGAUGAGACUUUGGAGGGUUUUUUCCCAGCUUAGUCUUUAUUUGGCCUUUACAUUUCGGUCUUGAGCAUGUAUGUCCCAGGCUAAUGGAGCCAGAAGGAAACAGAGAGGUGUGCUUGUCCAUUUAGGUAGAAAAUACUUAGUGCCAGUAUGUAGAUACACAUUCCCACCCCCAUGGCAGUAAGUGGUGGUGUUGUGUUGGGUGGCUGUGGCCAUUGUGUGAAACGUGUGAGCCACAGAGCAGAGCUCCUCCCUUGCUUACCUGGCCUAUGAGUGCAGAGCCUCUUGUCUCUCCACACAGACCCCCUCUGAGAAUACUGAACCCUCUUAUAAAAGAGAGAUUCUCAAAAACAUGGAGGACUGGUUUGUAGCAUACACUGGUUUUCUGCCCUGCACCAUUUAGAUAUGGAGGCUCCAAUAGCUAAAUACCAAAAGCAGGUGCAG